UAUAUGCAUAUGGAGGAGGGUCAGGUGGUGCUGCCCAGGCAUAGAGAGAGAGCACAUGUCAAUUCACACGAUCAAAAAGCAAGCAGGCAGAUACUGGACCAGCCCUCCCAUGGUAAACACCUAGAAAACUAGACAAAGCAUAUGAAAGAACUGUUUUCACACAUUUCAGACAUUUGCUGAGAGAAGGGAAACAAAUGAGGUGAUCCCUAGUUUGCUUGCCCCAGUUUUCUGCCUAGAAGCACAUUUUAGACCACAGCCCAGGGACGGGAACUCAAGCAGAACACAGCAGUCUUGCUGAGUUGAGGAAACAGAGACCAGGGGAGGCUGAGACAAUUGGAAUUUGCCAAGCAGAGUACCAGAGAGGAGGGAACUGUAAUGGAGCAAGGGCUUGUUCUGCUCACUGCAACCUGAUGCCAAUCAUUGCAAGAGGAGAAAACAGAGGCCUGGAGAGAUUAAAUAACCUGCCCAAGAUUAUUUUUUUAAAAAGAAACGGCAAAGAUUCUGAGAUUCAAAUCGCCGUCUGGUAGAUUUCAAAGUUUCAUCUCAUCCUCCGUUGCCUACAUCACACCAGCUCCUUGAAGGAAGCAGCAGGUGAGAGUCCUGGGUCCUGAACGGUGGGCCAAAAGGGCUGGUGGUCUGCACAGGAGGGAGUCGGGGGCCUGCGACCGCUGCAGCAGCAUCCAAAAUCGUCCAUCAUGCUAGGAAUCUGCCCAGCGGUCCGCAAGCAUGGGCUCAUCAAACCUCACCGCAACCUACGCAUCAGGCCCGGCCACCCCACGUUACACCUAAGAUUUAAACUGAGAGGAGAAGUGAUUUGUUCAAAGUCACUCAGCUGAUUAGCCCUGAACUAACAUCUGCUGCCAAUCCUUCUCUCUUUGCUGAGGAAGACCGGCCCUGACCCCACAUCCAUGUCCAUCCUCCUCCACUUUACAUGUGGGAUGCCUACCACAGCAUGGCUUGCCAAGCGGUAGCAUGUCCACACCUAGGAUCCGGGCCAGCGAAUCCCAGGCCGCUGAAGCGGAACGUGCGAACUUAACUGCUACGCCACUGGGCCGGCCCCUGAUGUGUGCUUUUGAUGGGCUGUUUCUUUUUCUUCCCCUAAAAGCAGUUGUUACAUUGAUGGUGGAUCUUACAAUCGAUGGUGUCUGAGAAUCUGGGGAAUACAGUAAUAACCGUCAAUGGCAAAGUCAGUUACAGGACCCAGGAUGCCAGCCUCCAUGUCCAGUGUCGUGACCCCAAAAUCACCAUGUUCCAGGGGUAGGCUUCUGUCAUGUGUGUGGCCUCUGGGGCCACCUGUCCCUACCCUUGGGCUGUGUUGGUGGGGCCUUGGCCCAGGCUUGGACAUUUUUCAAGUGUGCAAAGAUUCAUUUCAUUCUUUGACUGAAAGCAAAGGGCACCAUCCCCAGGGCCGGGAUCCGACCACCUGAGAGGAAGCACUAAGGCAACGUGAAAGCAAACAUGGAAGUAGGAACUAGGCUGCAGAUGGAGACAGUCCCAGCUGUACCAGGCAGAAAACAUACACACACACACCCCGACACACCAACUUUCUGUCCUGAGUCAUCACCUUUCCUGGUUCCACAUGCUUAGUCGACAUGCCACACUUUCUCUAGAAUCUCGGUUUCCCCCACCUGGUUUCUUGCCCAAGUAGCUUGUGGAGUUGAAGAAGGAGAAAUCAAUAAAAGAUUUGAAGGGCCUGUGAGAGCAGUCCUGGCUGUGGAGACCCCCGGGGUGGCUGGCGCCUCCCAGCCAGUCACUCUGGGCCCCUGAACAUUCCUUGCAGGAGAGCCUGAGCCCCAGACCCUUGUGAGAACUCUCCUGUGGGAGGCUGAGGCUGAGCUGCUGGCAUCUCAAGAGACUGCAGCCACAGCAGAAGCCACAGGAGAGACCCCUCACAGAAGCCAAUCUGUCAGCCACACCCCAACCUCUUUUGUCCUUGUUUUGUUCACAUUCUGUGUCCUGUGCCCCAGAGACCCUAUCACACAGCAGCAGGAGGGGCACACGCAGUCCAGGGCCUGGCCCACGCUGACAGGGCUGUGUCGGCAGCCCUGUCCUUACCCUUCUCCUCUUUGCAGGAGCCAGGAGGCUGGGGUGCAGAGGAGGGGGAGACACAGUCAUCUUGGGCAAAGAAGCCUGGCAGUGCAUUGCAGUGGGAAGGCCAGAGGCCAGCUCCACCCCCUGCCCCCCCUUCCCAGCUCCAGUGGCAUAAAGGUGACAGCCAUCAAGAUGUGCCACUCAGCGUUACUGCUGAGGAGAGCAGGCUUGGCGGGAGGCCCCAACUGCUGCCCCUCAGGAUCCUCCUCCGCAUUCACACUGAAGCCACGUUCCCCAGGCCUACUCCCAGCCAAUGCUGGGCAUGAGCAGUGGGGAGAACAAAUGCAGGCCACGCCUGUGAGACCUAGGACUCCUCCAACAGGCAGCUGGCUCCGGGACUCCCCAUCCAUCUGCCUCAACCUUUCUCAGAGCCAUGCUGCAGUUUAAGGCUCUUCCUGCCUUCCUUGCCCAAAAAGAGAUCUGGCCUCUUGACUCCUGGGAGAUAAUCUUUGUUUACCUGGGGAACUCAGGCUGGCCAGAUAGUAACAAUGUGACUUAGGGUGGAGGCUGGCCACACCAGAAAGACUCAUGAUUUAGGGGUCUUUGAUUUAGGUUGGGGCUUUGGAUCAUGCAGUAUCAGUCAACGUGGAGACUGAGAUCAACUACAUGGGCAAUCAAUCAAUCAUGGCGGCAUGAUGGAGGCCCAGUCAAACCUCUAAAUACCAGGGCUCAGGUGAGCUUCCCUGGUUUGCAGUACUCCAUGCAUAUUGUCUCACACUGAUGCCAGAAAAGCAACGUGUCCUGACUCCCCAGGGAGAGGUCAGUUUAAAAGCUCUGGUUUGUUACUUCCCUGGACUCCAUCCUAUGCACAUCUUCCCUUGGUUUUUAAAAAUCUGUAUCCUUUCCCUGUAAUAAACUGUAACCAUGAGUAGAACAGCUUUCAGUGAGUUCUGUGAGUCCUUCU
ensembl:lncRNA